rnacentral:rRNA from 1 species
UCAAGAGUACGUGAAACCGUUCAGGGGUAAACCUGAGAAACCCAAAAGAUCGAAUGGGGAGAUUCAUCGUCAGCGGCUUUGGCUUCCGUGCGGUACGCGAUGGCGGGGACCUGGUCUCGCGUCACGCUGCGCUGCGGCAUGUCCGGAGUCGUCGGCGUGCACUUCUCCCCUAGUAGGACGUCGCGACCCGUUGGGUGUCGUCGAUGGCCGGUCGGUCGUCUGUUGCGGCGCUUCAGACCGAUGUCGAAAGUCCGGCUGCCCGGCGGUAUUGAACGAAUAAUGGUAUCGGGCCGCAUGAAUGCGUUAGGCUCGUCGGCAGGCUCGUCUCGCUCGGAUACGGACCUAGCGCCGUUGCCGGGUGCUUGGCGUGGCUUUAGUCGACGAUGUCCUCGGACUGGCUCUUACCCGUCGGCGACGCUACGCCUGGGAUACUGCGUUC